rnacentral:rRNA from 1 species
GGGGGGGGGGGGGGGGGGGGGGGACGGGUGCAGGGCGAGCGAGACGUUCGGGUCUGGUGGCGCACGGGUGCGUAACGCGUGGGAACCGGCCCUUAGGUUCGGAAUAACUCCCCGAAAGGGGUGCUAAUACCGGAUAAUGUCUUCGGACCAAAGAUUUAUCGCCUUUGGAUGGGCCCGCGUUAGAUUAGCUAGUUGGUAGGGUAAAAGCCUACCAAGGCGACGAUCCAUAGCUGGUCUGAGAGGAUGAUCAGCCACACUGGGACUGAGACACGGCCCAGACUCAUACGGGAGGCAGCAGUGGGGAAUAUUGGACAAUGGGCGGAAGCCUGAUCCAGCAAUGCCGCGUGAGUGAUGAAGGCCUUAGGGUUGUAAAGCUCUUUUACCCGGGAUGAUAAUGACAGUACCGGGAGAAUAAGCUCCGGCUAACUCCGUG